AGAGUUUGAUCCUGGCUCAGGACGAACGCUGGCGGCGUGCUUAACACAUGCAAGUCGAGCGGAGCCCAUCCCGUGGCAACACGGGUGAAGGCUCAGCGGCGAACGGGUGAGUAACACGUGAGGAACCUGCCCCGAAGACCGGGAUAACCCUCCGAAAGGAGAGCUAAUACCGGAUGCCCUCCCUUGGUCGCAUGGCCGAGUGAGGAAAUGGAUUCCGCUUCGGGAGGGCCUCGCGGCCUAUCAGCUUGUUGGUGAGGUAACGGCUCACCAAGGCGUCGACGGGUAGCUGGUCUGAGAGGACGAUCAGCCACACUGGGACUGAGACACGGCCCAGACUCCUACGGGAGGCAGCAGUGGGGAAUCUUGCGCAAUGGGCGAAAGCCUGACGCAGCAACGCCGCGUGGGGGAUGAAGGCUUUCGGGUUGUAAACCCCUUUCAGCAGGGACGAUUGUGACGGUACCUGCAGAAGAAGCCCCGGCCAACUACGUGCCAGCAGCCGCGGUAAUACGUAGGGGGCAAGCGUUGUCCGGAUUUAUUGGGCGUAAAGAGCUCGUAGGCGGCUCACUAAGUCGGAUGUGAAAACUCCAGGCUCAACCUGGAGACGCCAUUCGAUACUGGUGUGGCUUGAGUUCGGUAGGGGAGCACGGAAUUCCUGGUGUAGCGGUGAAAUGCGCAGAUAUCAGGAGGAACACCGGUGGCGAAGGCGGUGCUCUGGGCCGAAACUGACGCUGAGGAGCGAAAGCGUGGGUAGCAAACAGGAUUAGAUACCCUAGUAGUCC
rnacentral:rRNA from 1 species